GCUGGGUGUGGUGGCGCACGCCUGUAGUCCCAGCUACUCGGGAGGCUGAGGUGGGAGGAUCACUUGAGCCUAGGAGGCUGAGGCUGUAGUGAGCCAUGAUUGUGUCACUGCACUUCAGCCUGGGCAACAGAGCAAGACACCAUCUUAA
rnacentral:SRP_RNA from 1 species